CCGAAAGGGUGACGAAGCGACGCCGCGUGGGUGAGGAAGGCCUUCGGGUUGUAAAGCCCUGUCAGGAGUUAAGAAAUGUAAGUGCGCUAAUAUCGCAUUUAUUUGACGAAGGCUCCAAAGGAGGUCACGGCUAACUCUGUGCCAGCAGCCGCGGUAAUACAGAGGUGGCAAGCGUUGUUCGGAAUUAUUGGGCGUAAAGAGCACGUAGGUGGGUUUGUAAGUCAGAUGUGAAAGCCUUCUGUUCAACGGAAGAAUUGCAUCUGAAACUGCGAGUCUUGAGUGUAGGAGGGGAGAAUGGAACUUCUGGUGGAGCGGUGAAAUGCGUAGAUAUCAGAAGGAACGCCGGCGGCGAAAGCGACUCUCUGGCCUAUUACUGACACUCAGUGUGCGAA
rnacentral:rRNA from 1 species